GAUGAACGCUGGCGGCGUGCCUAAUACAUGCGAGUCGAGCGAACGGACGAGAAGCUUGCUUCUCUGAUGUUAGCGGCGGACGGGUGAGUAACACGUGGAUAACCUACCUAUAAGACUGGGAUAACUUCGGGAAACCGGAGCUAAUACCGGAUAAUAUUUUGAACCGCAUGGUUCAAAAGUGAAAGACGGUCUUGCUGUCACUUAUAGAUGGAUCCGCGCUGCAUUAGCUAGUUGGUAAGGUAACGGCUUACCAAGGCAACGAUGCAUAGCCGACCUGAGAGGGUGAUCGGCCACACUGGAACUGAGACACGGUCCAGGCUCCUACGGGAGGCAGCAGUAGGGAAUCUUCCGCAAUGGGCGAAAGCCUGACGGAGCAACGCCGCGUGAGUGAUGAAGGUCUUCGGAUCGUAAAACUCUGUUAUUAGGGAAGAACAUAUGUGUAAGUAACUGUGCACAUCUUGACGGUACCUAAUCAGAAAGCCACGGCUAACUACGUG
rnacentral:rRNA from 1 species